AUACGUAGGGAGCAAGCGUUGUCCGGAAUUACUGGGCGUAAAGGGCGUGUAGGCGGCCGAUCAAGUCAGGUGUGAAAUUUCAGGGCUCAACCCUGAGCGUGCACUUGAAACUGGUUGGCUUGAGUGCAGAAGAGGAAAGUGGAAUUCCCAGUGUAGCGGUGAAAUGCGUAGAUAUUGGGAGGAACACCAGUGGCGAGGGCGACUUUCUGGUCUGUAACGGACGCUGAGGCGCGAAAGCUAGGGGAGCGAACAGGAUUAGAUACCCUGGUAGUCCUAGCCGUAAACGAUGGGUACUAGGUGUAGGGGGUUUAGACGCCCUCUGUGCCGCAGUUAACACAUUAAGUACCCCGCCUGGGGAGUACGGCCGCAAGGCUGAAACUCAAAGGAAUUGACGGGG
rnacentral:rRNA from 1 species